rnacentral:misc_RNA from 1 species
GUAGGUGAACCUGGAAGGAUCAUUACAGAGUUCAUACCCUCACGGGUAGAUCUCCCACCCUUGAAUAUUAUACCUUCGUUGCUUUGGCAGGCCGUGGAAACACCAUGGGCUCCGGCUGAUGCGUGCCUGCCAGAGGAAACAAAACUCUGUUUUUAGUGAUGUCUGAGUACUUUAUAAUAGUUAAAACUUUCAACAACGGAUCUCUUGGUUCUG